CAUGCGCAAAUAAAAUAGUUUGAACAAAAAUGGCGGCUAUUUCUGGCCGUAUUCGUUCAUAACAACUCCUGGGCCCAAAACCUUUUAAACCAUAAGAAUAGAGCACAAUACAGAUCAGAAACAUGGGUGGAGCAAUAUCACUGCCGUCCUUUCGAGCCUAGGUUUUUCUACUACUAUGAUAUGAGUUUGGUUCGUUUUGUCAGUUGUUGUUAUGAUAACACUACUGCAGGGGUACGACACAUUUGACAGUGGUGAUUAGAACAGAUGCCCGCUUCUAGCAUGGACUCGUACACCGCUGCAAAUCAGGAAGCUGAUGCAGACGGGAGACCUUUCAGUGAAGUCCAUGCCAAGCAACUGAUCUCCAAGAUCAGUAGAGAAGAACUAGAAGACAAAUUCCUCAGGCUUCAAGAGGAAAACACCGAACUAAAGAAAUAUGCCAGAAAACAGGAGGAAAAAAUUAAAAAGAUGGCAACCAAGCUUUUGCGGCUUGUGUCAGACAAGAAGAAGAGGGAACUUGCUGAUGGAGUUCCCAAAGGCAAAGAUAUUGAGGCGGAGGAAAAGAUAGCAGAUUUGAAUGACAAAAUAAUAGAAUUAGAAAAGCAGAAUGGCCUUUUAAAAAACAAGCUGACUGUUGCCAAGCAACAGAUACAGACCCAAAGUAAAAGAACCACUCCCUAUGACAAUGUGACACCACGGAUCAACACGGGCUUGCAUCAUGUUAGAACACCCUCUGGUAAUCGACUGAAGAAAAAUCUGCGAGUUCAGGGUGCUGAUGUCAGGCCUGGAUCAAUGGCUACCCCACCUCUACUUCCUCAGCCCAGAUAUGGACACAGUCUACUAGAGGAGGCACGCCUCGAAAAAAGGGAGCUAGAGGAGGUUAUUGGUCAGCUUGAAGAUGAGGUCCAGGUGUUGGAAGAAGAGAAAAGAAUGCUAAAGCUGCAGCUUGAGCAGAAUGAAUUGGAGCACCAGGAAGAGUUGAACAGAGCAAGAGACCAACUGACAGGGAUGCAAAGGGGUAAUCUUCAAGAGAAUGUAGAGCUGAUCAAACUUCAGAGAGACGUUAAGGACAAGAUGACCAAAUUGCAAGCUGUGCAGGCCAAGUACCAAAGCCUAGAAGAGAACCUUGCUAAAGUAAAGAUCAGCCACUCCCAAGUUCUUGAUGAGAUGGAUAGCCUCAACACUAAGCUAAAGGAGGAGCAAACCAAGAAUAUGAUGUUGAAAAACGAAAUGAAGUCUAAAGGAAUUGCAGAGAAGUCGAUGACAGAGCAAGUACAGCUGAUCACUGAUCUGAAAGCAGAGAAUGAGAUUCUUAAAGAAGCCAAUGAAAAGCUUGUUAACAGUGCUUUCGAUGUUGACCGUGAGCAGCAGCACAGGAAUCGUUACAGGCAACAGGAGGUUGAGAUUGAGCAGCUUCGCGCAACACUCAACUCUGAUCUUAAAGAGAAGAAUGAAAUCCUUGAUAAGCUUAGUGAAGAAAGAGGAAAGGCUGAGAAGGUAGAAGAAGAGCUUCGCCAGUUACGAGUGCAACACUACACACUAAAGGAACAGUAUGAUGACCUCAGGGAAAAGAUGAAGUUUUUUACCAAAGAAAGUGCAGUUGAUUUCCAGGAAAUUGAAGAAGCCCUUGUUCUAAUCAAGCAAAGAAAGGAGAAAGGCAGUCAAGACCUUGACUUCUUGGAAAAGGUUGACGAUGAGAUUGGAAAAGAUGUCAAAAAACAGCACCAAGAGUUAAUGGCUGCACAUGCAGACACAGUGAACGAGCUGGAGAAGACGCGUAACAUGCUGAUCAUCCAGCACAAGAUUAAUAAAGACUACAAGACGGAGGUUGACCGGGUGACAAGGAAAAUGACUGAUGACAAGAAAGAGUAUGAUCUCAAAAUGCAAGAAUACGCCCAACUACUGGACAUCAGAGCAGAGCGAAUCAGGAAACUCGAGAGUCAAAUGCAUGACAUUGCAUAUGGAACGAAGCAGUACAAGGCAGUAUCGGGAACCGAGGAAUCUGAGUAUGAGGAGGUAGACAGUACACUGGAGCUGGAGAGAGGCCAGAACGUGUUCGAGAUUCACAUCGACAAGGUCGUAUUUAAUGACUCCUCGCGCGCAGAGUUUGAAGAUGCGGAACCAGUCACGUUUGUGACGUACGAGUUCUUUGAGCACGAGCUACAGGCCACACCCGUAUUAAAGGGAAUGAGGCCGCUGUUUAACUUCACUUCCCAGUAUUUGGUCAGAGUGGACGACUUUUUUCUUCAUUACCUUCAGAAGGAGUCGACACUUGUUGAACUGCAUCGAGCGUUUGGCACAGACUUCAAGACUAUCGCGGCAUGUCAGCUUCGAUUCCGAGAUCUCUUAGAGAAGUCCCAUGGACGAGUACACGGCUCCGCCAAGUUAAUAGGCAGGAGUCCGGGGACAGAAGGCACUGAAAUCGCUAGCAUGGAAUAUUGGGUGCGACUACGGGUUCCUAUGGACCAGGCCAUUCGUCUUUACAGGGAGCGUACUAAAGCGUUGGGUUACAUGGACUCAAAUGCAUACAAAGCUCUUGAAAAUGCCGGUCAUGGGGCGGAGAAGGCGCCAUUAGACAUCAAUGAGUUGGGCGUGCACAUUAUUAGAUGUACUGGAGUGAAGGCAAACAAUGAAGCGGUUCAGCCGAGUCCAUAUGCCGUGUACAAGUUUUUCGACUUUGCUGAUCAUGACACCAAAAUCAUCCCGAGCUCCAACAUGCCAGAGUUUAAUGACGUUAAAACAUUUCCUGUUCCCAUGACGACAGAACUUGAUAGCUACCUAAGAGCAGCGGUCCUGGAGGUUUACGUGUUCGAUGACAGUGACCCUGAUGUUGCUGCCUAUUUGGGUGUAGCCAAUGUACCUCUCAUCACACUUGCAAACGACAAGCCAAUCAAAGGGACCUUCACUCUGCAUAAGGCUUCAGGUUCCGAAAAUGGUACCGUCGAUGUAUUCUUGAGAUGGCGAUACACCUAUCUACCAGCUAGUGCCAAGCCUCGCGCGACCCCGCAGCGUCUGAUGGCUGUCCCUGCUGACGGAAGUCCGCCCAUCGACGAUGUCACCAUCCAGGACGAGCUUGCCAGACGAACCAUCGAUAGCAAUCACAUGGUAUCCACCCCAAAAUCCACAUCACCACCCAAGCGGGAUUCCUCGGCAACCCAGAACGAUGCACGAAUGAUCGAGAACGCGUCACGCGAUCAGCUCGAGUCACGCAAGGAUCAAGAAUCACACACAGAAAAGCCUCGGAAACACGCAAGACCGCGCACAGCAUCGCGGGAACGCAAUCAGGAAAUAGCAUCUGAACCAAACGGGGGCUCUUUAGAAGACAUGUCACAUGAUGAACUCGCCGUAGCAGCAAGCGAGAAACCCAAGCCCAAACCAAGAACCCGUACCAUCUCCCAAGCCAGUGAACCGGAUAAACCGGUGAAACCUGUUGAGGAAAUGUCCGUGGACGAGAUGAUACUAGCAGCGAAUGGAGACGCGCAACGCGAGCGGCCAGCAGACGAGAUAAAGGAGGAGAUUACAAAUGAGUUUGACGAUGAUGAGGAGGAGGAGGAGGGGCAUGAUGAAGAAGAGAAAGUGUCUUCUGAAGUCGAUAAGAGUGAUGAAGAGCGCGUAGCAGAGGAAAUGAGGCGUACGGCUGAGCAGGGAGAGCAAGCGGCCAGUGAUACAAUGUUUGAGGAAGAGCAUCACGAAUCUGACACGACACUUGGUGAUGACGUGGAUAUCCCGUUACCCGCGCGUAGACCCGUCAGUGAGUUGGAAGAAAGCGAGGGUGAGACGACGGAGAGUGAAGGACUUGUGGUGUCUCCAUCGCCUGCCAGACUAGCAACAGCUUCACAGCCCACCUAUACCAUAACGGUACAGAUCAGCAGCCUGAUGCUGCAUGACAACUCUCCCAUUCUGAGCAGUGACUCGGUCAAGCAGAUAUUCGUCGCCUACCGCUUCCUUGACUGUGACCCUGCCGAGCUUGAGACACCGAUGUCUCUCCCCAAGCCCCGCGCCGCGUACCGACCUCUCUCGUUUAACUUCAAGAAAGUUUUCCAUGUGGACCCUGAGACAAAUUCCCAGAAGAGAAACCAUCUGAUGUACAUGCUGACCCCUGAUAGUCCAACACAGGGCAGACUGGUGUUCACCGUUGUGAGUGACCCCCCGGAUCCUGACGAGGCUGACUGUAUGGAUGUCGCCUACGCUUUCGUGGACUUUGUCCAGAUACUACAAGAUGGAAGAGAUGUCAUCGACCAUCCCUUGCCGUUGUUCGACAUGUUAGAGGACAAGGGCGAGACGGGUACUUUGACUGUUACAGUACAGGCAUUCGAAGCGUUGCACAGCCUCUAUCAGUCAUGACCAUGGACUUAACUGUGACUGGAGGCAUUCGACGCGUUGCUCAGCCUCUAUCAGUCAUGACCAUGGACUUGAAUGUGACAGUAGAGGCAUUCGACGCGUUGCUCAGCCUCUAUCAGUCAUGACCAUGGACUUAACUGUGACUGGAGGCAUUCGACGCGUUUCUCAGCCUCUAUCAGUCAUGACCAUGGACUUAAGCUCAAGCUUUUUAUAUAAGAGGGAACGUGCUGAAAUUUCCUACACAAUAAGUUGCCCCACUAAGAUUUGUUGAUGACAUCUGACAAAAACAGAUAGGGUACUUUUGGGGUACAUGUUUGCAAGUAGGGCUAGGCCCAGCUGGUUCAUCCUCUAGGGCUAGGCCCAGCUGGUUCAUCCGCUAGGGCUAGGCCCAGCUGGUUCAUCCGCUAGGGCUAGGCCCAGCUGGUUCAUCCGCUAGGGCUAGGCCCAGCUGGUUCAUCCGCUAGGGAUAGGCCCAGCUGGUUCAUUCGCUGAUUACAAGUCUGAUAUGCCACUAGGGAAUAAGCUUAUUGAAAGCUUCCACUCAUACGAAAAGAAAAACAUCUGUCACUACUCAAAAUAGCAAACUAGAAAAACCUAUCUAAACAUCGUUAUGGAUUGUGAGGGGUCUGGAGAUGUGCAAGGCAUUGUGGGAAAACACUCUCCUUCCACAUCCCUAAUCACUAGGUUCUUGGAUCUUUGGUGAAUAUACCGUAUGUAAAAUAGAGCAUAAAUAAUAAUUUAUGGUGCAAAAUGCCUCCCCGUGAUAUUAUCGAAUAAAAUUUGUUUUAAAUAAUA